UACGUAGGGGGCAAGCGUUGUCCGGAUUUAUGGGCGUAAAGAGCUCGUAGGUGGUUCGGUAAGUCGGAUGUGAAAUCUCCAGGCUCAACCUGGAGGGGUCAUUCGAUACUGCCGUGACUAGAGGUCGGUAGGGGAGUGUGGAAUUCCUGGUGGAGCGGUGGAAUGCGCAGAUAUCAGGAGGAACACCUAUAGCGAAGGCAGCUCGCUGGUACGACACUGACGCUAAGGCGCGAAAGCGUGGGGAGCGAACAGG
rnacentral:rRNA from 1 species